AUUGAACGCUGGCGGCAGGCUUAACACAUGCAAGUCGAGCGGAGUGAUGGUGCUUGCACUAUCACUUAGCGGCGGACGGGUGAGUAAUGCUUAGGAAUCUGCCUAUUAGUGGGGGACAACAUCUCGAAAGGGAUGCUAAUACCGCAUACGUCCUACGGGAGAAAGCAGGGGAUCACUUGUGACCUUGCGCUAAUAGAUGAGCCUAAGUCGGAUUAGCUAGUUGGUGGGGUAAAGGCCUACCUAGGCGACGAUCUCUAGCUGGUCUGAGAGGAUGACCAGCCACACUGGGACUGAGAAACGGCCCAGACUCCUACGGGAGGCAGCAGUGGGGAAUAUUGCACAAUGGGCGCAAGCCUGAUGCAGCCAUGCCGCGUGUGUGAAGAAGGCCUUCGGGUUGUAAAGCACUUUCGGUUGGGAGGAAGGGGUGCGAGUUAAUAGCUCGCAUUUUUGACGUUACUAACAGAAGAAGCACCGGCAAACUCCGUGCCAGCCGCCGCGGUAA
rnacentral:rRNA from 1 species